rnacentral:rRNA from 1 species
CCCUUGACUCUGGGAUAAGCCUGGGAAACUGGGUCUAAUACUGGAUAUGACUUCUCACCGCAUGGUGGGGGGUGGAAAGAUUUAUUGGUCUUGGAUGGACUCGCGGCCUAUCAGCUUGUUGGUGAGGUAAUGGCUCACCAAGGCGACGACGGGUAGCCGGCCUGAAAGGGUGACCGGCCACACUGGGACUGAGACACGCCCCAGACUCCUACGGGAGGCAGCAGUGGGGAAUAUUGCACAAUGGGCGCAAGCCUGAUGCAGCGACGCCGCGUGAGGGAUGACGGCCUUCGGGUUGUAAACCUCUUUCAGUAGGGAAGAAGCGAAAGUGACGGUACCUGCAGAAGAAGCGCCGGCUAACUACGUGCCAGCAGCCGCGGUAAUACGUAGGGCGCGAGCGUUAUCCGGAAUUAUUGGGCGUAAAGAGCUCGUAGGCGGUUUGUCGCGUCUGCCGUGAAAGUCCGGGGCUUAACCCCGGAUCUGCGGUGGGUACGGGCAGACUAGAGUGCAGUAGGGGAGACUGGAAUUCCUGGUGUAGCGGUGAAAUGCGCAGAUAUCAGGAGGAACACCGAUGGCGAAGGCAGGUCUCUGGGCUGUAACUGACGCUGAGGAGCGAAAGCAUGGGGAGCGAACAGGAUUAGAUACCCUGGUAGUCCAUGCCGUAAACGUUGGGCACUAGGUGUGGGGGACAUUCCACGUUUUCCGCGCCGUAGCUAACGCAUUAAGUGCCCCGCCUGGGGAGUACGGCCGCAAGGCUAAAACUCAAAGGAAUUGACGGGGGCCCGCACAAGCGGCGGAGCAUGCGGAUUAAUUCGAUGCAACGCGAAGAACCUUACCAAGGCUUGACAUGUUCCUGACCGCCGUAGAGAUACGGUUUCCCCUUUGGGGCAGGUUCACAGGUGGUGCAUGGUUGUCGUCAGCUCGUGUCGUGAGAUGUUGGGUUAAGUCCCGCAACGAGCGCAACCCUCGUUCCAUGUUGCCAGCACGUAGUGGUGGGGACUCAUGGGAGACUGCCGGGGUCAACUCGGAGGAAGGUGGGGACGACGUCAAAUCAUCAUGCCCCUUAUGUCUUGGGCUUUCAC